ensembl:snoRNA
AUAGAGGGAAAGGUCGCUAAAAGAACACUGCAUUCCUGUAGCCUGCACGUUGUUGGAAAUGCCUCACAGAGUAACUCUGUGGUUUUACUUCCCUCACAGGGUUGUUGUUAGAUCUGUGGGAAAGAACUACAAGACAGUU